rnacentral:rRNA from 1 species
CGUGGGUAACCUGCCCAAGAGAUCGGGAUAACACCUGGAAACAGAUGCUAAUACCGGAUAACAACAGAUGAUGCCUAUCAACUGUUUAAAAGAUGGUUCUGCUAUCACUCUUGGAUGGACCUGCGGUGCAUUAGCUAGUUGGUAGGGUAACGGCCUACCAAGGCGAUGAUGCAUAGCCAGUUGAGAGACUGAUCGGCCACAUUGGGACUGAGACACGGCCCAAACUCCUACGGGAGGCAGCAGCC